UACGUAGGGUGCGAGCGUUAAUCGGAAUUACUGGGCGUAAAGGGUGCGCAGGCGGUCCUGCAAGUCAGGCGUGAAAUCCCCGGGCUUAACCUGGGAAUGGCACUUGAAACUACGGGACUGGAGUAUGGCAGAGGGAGGUGGAAUUCCACGUGUAGCGGUGAGAUGCGUAGAGAUGUGGAGGAACACCGAUGGCGAAGGCAGCCUCCUGGGCCAAUACUGACGCUCAUGCACGAAAGCGUGGGGAGCAAACAGG
rnacentral:rRNA from 1 species